rnacentral:rRNA from 1 species
UACAGAGGGGGCAAGCGUUGUUCGGAAUUACUGGGCGUAAAGGGCGCGUAGGCGGCCUGCUAAGUCGAACGUGAAAUCCCUGGGCUCAACCCAGGAACUGCGUCCGAUACUGGUUGGCUUGAAUCCGGGAGAGGGAUGUGGAAUUCCAGGUGUAGCGGUGAAAUGCGUAGAUAUCUGGAGGAACACCGGUGGCGAAGGCGGGUCUCUGGGCCGUAACUGACGCUGAGGAGCGAAAGCGUGGGGAGCGAACAGG